rnacentral:lncRNA from 1 species
GUCUCUAAUUCAACAGCUUCCAAAACAAUCUGAGGGAUCUGUGUGGUUUUUCCACUACCAGUCUCACCAACGAGAAUCAAAGUCUGGUCAUCCCUCAAAACCUGCAAGAAAUCCUCUUUCUGGUGCCAAACAGGUAGGGUUUUCCUCUUCUCCAAAAUUUUAUAGUAUCUUUGAGAGUAAGCUUUACCGUUCCAUCGGUUUAUAAGGCUGUUACCGAUUCAAACGCCAUUAGUUCUCACCAUCUUAGCUGCAGAGUUGUCCACGACGUCGAAUAAACUCAUCUUCCUCUUCCUCUCCGUACCCAUCAAAACCUAAUGAUCUUCAAUUGUUAGGCACUGUUUCAGCGAUAUAUGAAUAUACCUUUUCACAAAUUCCACAAUAAUAAUAUAUUAGGAACUGUGAGUGAAACAAACCCCUAGAAAAUACACAGGCUUGGCUAAAUAUUAGGGUUUUAGGGUUUCGAGCAUAAAGCUUAUGUGUUUAAAUAGACUAAGGAUAAACCCGUCGGUGAUCGGAAUGGAUGAGGGAUCCGAUGGAGAAACUUAAACCUUUUUUUUUUUCCGCAGUGAACAGUACUACGCGAGCGCGAUGAACAGUGUCGCGAUUGAUCUGCUGAAAAUAAACGAAAAGCUACGAAGAAGGGGUAAACCAGAAUUGAGACACAGUUUACCGAAAAAUCUCACCGAAUAUUGGAAUGUUAGAAAAGAGAAACUAUAAUUAUAUUCCCUAAUUGUUGGGAACUCGACAGCGAAAUAGAGGCGGGAUCGUUCAAGGAGGAUCGAAAUAGACUCUGAUACCAUGUUCCCUAAUUGUUGGGAACUCGACAGCGAAAUAGAGGCGGGAUCGUUCAAGGAGGAUCGAAAUAGACUCUGAUACCAUGUUCCCUAAUUGUUGGGAACUCGACAGCGGAAUAGAGGCGGAAUCGUUCAAGGAGGAUCGAAAUAGACUCUGAAAGUGUGAGAUUUUAGAGAAAAGGAGGAGAGAAAAUAAUAAGGGUUUGAAUAUUAUUGAUAAUAGCUUAAUGCUUACUUUUUUACAAAAGACUCAGUACUAAUUUCUAUUUAUAGAGAAACAUAGAUUCAAUCUUAAAUAAGAAAUAAAUCAUAAUAAUAAUGAAAGAUAUUCUAAGAUAUCUCUAUAAUUAUAAAUUAAUCAUAAGAAAUAAUUUAAAAUACUCUAAUAUAAUAUAAAAGAUAUUAUAACAUAUUUUCUAAUAUUCUAUCGGUUGAUGUCACUAAUUUUUGGCUCAUUGCAUUGCAUUCCAGUUUGACUAACUGUUGUUGAUGCAUCCAAUAUAUCACAUCAAGGCAUGACACUGCAGUUUUGGAUUGUUCAGACUUUAGAUUUCUCAAAAUAUUCAAGAAAUGAAAGCUGUUACCGAGAAGGAGGUGACUCAAUAUUGUUAUUUGUUAAUUAAUACUCAGUGGAUUAGUUAAUGUUUUAGAAUGAAAUUUAUAGGAACACAAAGAAAGUUAUGCACCUUGUCUUGUCGAAUUAGGAGAGAAGAGAAUCAAACUUGGAUCCUCUACAACCAGGCUGUUGUACCGUACAACAGUUGUAGAUUAUCGCUAACCAGCUCGUGGAUGGGGUAUGACACGUGAAUGCGGUGCAUAGUUGGCGGGAGAGACUCUCUUAUUGCCCGAGUUAUCUUUUCUUUUUGCUUUCUAUAUUCUUUUUGUAUUUCUUGAAACUUGGGAUGUUAUGACCUUAAUACAAUCGUAUUAUUUUCAUCAUUACAAGCAAGCUGACGUUUUUCUAUUACAUGCUUUGAUACCCAUAAAUAGUCCAAGUUAUGAU